AGUGAACGCUGGCGGUAGGCCUAACACAUGCAAGUCGAACGGCAGCACAGUAAGAGCUUGCUCUUACGGGUGGCGAGUGGCGGACGGGUGAGGAAUACAUCGGAAUCUACUUUUUCGUGGGGGAUAACGUAGGGAAACUUACGCUAAUACCGCAUACGACCUACGGGUGAAAGCAGGGGAUCUUCGGACCUUGCGCGAUUGAAUGAGCCGCUGUCGGAUUAGCUAGUUGGCGGGGUAAAGGCCCACCAAGGCGACGAUCCGUAGCUGGUGUGAGAGGAUGAUCAGCCACACUGGAACUGAGACACGGUCCAGACUCCUACGGGAGGCAGCAGUGGGGAAUAUUGGACAAUGGGCGCAAGCCUGAUCCAGCCAUACCGCGUGGGUGAAGAAGGCCUUCGGGUUGUAAAGCCCUUUUGUUGGGAAAGAAAAGCAGCAGGUUAAUACCCCGCUGUUCUGACGGUACCCAAAGAAUAAGCACCGGCUAACUUCGUG
rnacentral:rRNA from 1 species